GACGAACGCUGGCGGCGUGCUUAACACAUGCAAGUCGUACGGUAAGGCCCUUUCGGGGGUACACGAGUGGCGAACGGGUGAGUAACACGUGAGUAACCUGCCCACAACUUUGGGAUAACGCUAGGAAACUGGUGCUAAUACUGGAUAUGUGCUCCUGCUGCAUGGUGGGGGUUGGAAAGCUCCGGCGGUUGUGGAUGGACUCGCGGCCUAUCAGCUUGUUGGUUGGGUAGUGGCCUACCAAGGCGGCGACGGGUAGCCGGCCUGAGAGGGUGACCGGCCACAUUGGGACUGAGAUACGGCCCAGACUCCUAUGGGUGGCAGCAGUGGGGAAUAUUGCACAAUGGGCGCAAGCCUGUUGCGGCAACGCCGCGUGCGGGAUGACGGCCUUCGGGUUGUAAACCGCUUUCAGCAGGGACGAAGCUUUUUGUGACGGUACCUGCAGAAGAAGCACCGGCUAACUACGUG
rnacentral:rRNA from 1 species